rnacentral:rRNA from 1 species
GCGAUUUCCGAAUGGGGAAACCCAGUGUGUUUCGACACACUAUCAUUAACUGAAUCCAUAGGUUAAUGAGGCGAACCGGGGGAACUGAAACAUCUAAGUACCCCGAGGAAAAGAAAUCAACCGAGAUUCCCCCAGUAGCGGCGAGCGAACGGGGAGCAGCCCAGAGCCUGAAUCAGUGUGUGUGUUAGUGGAAGCGUCUGGAAAGGC